CUACGGGAGGCAGCAGUGAGGAAUAUUGGUCAAUGGCCGAGAGGCUGAACCAGCCAUCCCGCGUGCAGGAUGACGGCCCUAUGGGUUGUAAACUGCUUUUCUACGCCAAGAAACCUGAUUACGUGUAAUUAGUUGACGGUAGCGUAGGAAUAAGCAUCGGCUAACUCCGUGCCAGCAGCCGCGGUAAUACGGAGGAUGCAAGCGUUAUCCGGAUUCAUUGGGUUUAAAGGGUGCGCAGGCGGGCUUGUAAGUCAGUGGUGAAAUACUGCCGCUUAACGGUAGAACUGCCAUUGAUACUGCAAGUCUUGAAUAUGGUUGAGGUAGGCGGAAUGUGUUGUGUAGCGGUGAAAUGCAUAGAUAUGACACAGAACGCCGAUUGCGAAGGCAGCUUACUAAGCCAUUAUUGACGCUGAGGCACGAAAGCGUGGGGAGCGAACAGGAUUAGAUACCCUCGUAGUC
rnacentral:rRNA from 1 species